rnacentral:lncRNA from 1 species
CUGGUCACUGAGGGUCAGCCUGGCCGUGGGGACAGCAGUGUGUGCUGGUCACAAAGGAGAGUUCACUGCCACUGUUCGUGCAGGUGCCCAGCACCUCUGCUCUCAGGGUGGAGAGGAAAGUCUGCAUUGGGAGAGGGACGCCCGUGUGCAGCCAGCCUGAGCCCCAGCACUCAGCUCCAGAUUAGAGCCUGCAGCAGCUGCCAUCCAUCAUGCUUGCACUGUGGCCCGUGGGCUGGUGAUGGCCGUCCACUCUCGCGGCCCAGCCUGGCCGGAGCCCCAGUGAGAGCAGUGAUU